rnacentral:rRNA from 1 species
GAUUAAGUUAUUAAGGGCGCACGGUGGAUGCCUUGGCACUAGAAGCCGAUGAAGGACGUUACUAACGACGAUAUGCUUUGGGGAGCUGUAAGUAAGCUUUGAUCCAGAGAUUUCCGAAUGGGGAAACCCAGCAUGAGUUAUGUCAUGUUAUCGAUAUGUGAAUACAUAGCAUAUCAGAAGGCACACCCGGAGAACUGAAACAUCUUAGUACCCGGAGGAAGAGAAAGAAAAUUCGAUUCCCUUAGUAGCGGCGAGCGAAACGGGAAGAGCCCAAACCAAAAAGCUUGCUUGUUGGGGUUGUAGGACACUCUAUACGGAGUUACAAAGGACGACAUUAGACGAAUCAUCUGGAAAGAUGAAUCAAAGAAGGUAAUAAUCCUGUAGUCGAAAAUGUUGUCUCUCUUGAGUGGAUCCUGAGUACGACGGAGCACGUGAAAUUCCGUCGGAAUCUGGGAGGACCAUCUCCUAAGGCUAAAUACUCUCUAGUGACCGAUAGUGAACCAGUACCGUGAGGGAAAGGUGAAAAGCACCCCGGAAGGAGAGUGAAAUAGAACCUGAAACCGUGUGCUUACAAGUAGUCAGAGCCCGUUAAUGGGUGAUGGCGUGCCUUUGUAGAAUGAACCGGCGAGUUACGAUUUGAUGCAAGGUUAAGCAGUAAAUGUGGAGCCGUAGCGAAAAGCGAGUCUGAAUAGGGCGUUUAGUAUUUGGUCGUAGACCCGAAACCAGGUGAUCUACCCUUGGUCAGGUUGAAGUUCAGGUAACACUGAAUGGAGGACCGAACCGACUUACGUUGAAAAGUGAGCGGAUGAACUGAGGGUAGCGGAGAAAUUCCAAUCGAACCUGGAGAUAGCUGGUUCUCUCCGAAAUAGCUUUAGGGCUAGCCUCAAGUGAUGAUUAUUGGAGGUAGAGCACUGUUUGGACGAGGGGCCCCUCUCGGGUUACCGAAUUCAGACAAACUCCGAAUGCCAAUUAAUUUAACUUGGGAGUCAGAACAUGGGUGAUAAGGUCCGUGUUCGAAAGGGAAACAGCCCAGACCACCAGCUAAGGUCCCAAAAUAUAUGUUAAGUGGAAAAGGAUGUGGCGUUGCCCAGACAACUAGGAUGUUGGCUUAGAAGCAGCCAUCAUUUAAAGAGUGCGUAAUAGCUCACUAGUCGAGUGACACUGCGCCGAAAAUGUACCGGGGCUAAACAUAUUACCGAAGCUGUGGAUUGUCCUUUGGACAAUGGUAGGAGAGCGUUCUAAGGGCGUUGAAGCAUGAUCGUAAGGACAUGUGGAGCGCUUAGAAGUGAGAAUGCCGGUGUGAGUAGCGAAAGACGGGUGAGAAUCCCGUCCACCGAUUGACUAAGGUUUCCAGAGGAAGGCUCGUCCGCUCUGGGUUAGUCGGGUCCUAAGCUGAGGCCGACAGGCGUAGGCGAUGGAUAACAGGUUGAUAUUCCUGUACCACCUAUAAUCGUUUUAAUCGAUGGGGGACGCAGUAGGAUAGGCGAAGCGUGCGAUUGGAUUGCACGUCUAAGCAGUAAGGCUGAGUAUUAGGCAAAUCCGGUACUCGUUAAGGCUGAGCUGUGAUGGGGAGAAGACAUUGAGUCUUCGAGUCGUUGAUUUCACACUGCCGAGAAAAGCCUCUAGAUAGAAAAUAGGUGCCCGUACCGCAAACCGACACAGGUAGUCAAGAUGAGAAUUCUAAGGUGAGCGAGCGAACUCUCGUUAAGGAACUCGGCAAAAUGACCCCGUAACUUCGGGAGAAGGGGUGCUCUUUAGGGUUAACGCCCAGAAGAGCCGCAGUGAAUAGGCCCAAGCGACUGUUUAUCAAAAACACAGGUCUCUGCUAAACCGUAAGGUGAUGUAUAGGGGCUGACGCCUGCCCGGUGCUGGAAGGUUAAGAGGAGUGGUUAGCUUCUGCGAAGCUACGAAUCGAAGCCCCAGUAAACGGCGGCCGUAACUAUAACGGUCCUAAGGUAGCGAAAUUCCUUGUCGGGUAAGUUCCGACCCGCACGAAAGGCGUAACGAUUUGGGCACUGUCUCAACGAGAGACUCGGUGAAAUCAUAGUACCUGUGAAGAUGCAGGUUACCCGCGACAGGACGGAAAGACCCCGUGGAGCUUUACUGUAGCCUGAUAUUGAAAUUCGGCACAGCUUGUACAGGAUAGGUAGGAGCCUUUGAAACGUGAGCGCUAGCUUACGUGGAGGCGCUGGUGGGAUACUACCCUAGCUGUGUUGGCUUUCUAACCCGCACCACUUAUCGUGGUGGGAGACAGUGUCAGGCGGGCAGUUUGACUGGGGCGGUCGCCUCCUAAAAGGUAACGGAGGCGCUCAAAGGUUCCCUCAGAAUGGUUGGAAAUCAUUCAUAGAGUGUAAAGGCAUAAGGGAGCUUGACUGCGAGACCUACAAGUCGAGCAGGGUCGAAAGACGGACUUAGUGAUCCGGUGGUUCCGCAUGGAAGGGCCAUCGCUCAACGGAUAAAAGCUACCCCGGGGAUAACAGGCUUAUCUCCCCAAGAGUUCACAUCGACGGGGAGGUUUGGCACCUCGAUGUCGGCUCAUCGCAUCCUGGGGCUGUAGUCGGUCCCAAGGGUUGGGCUGUUCGCCCAUUAAAGCGGUACGCGAGCUGGGUUCAGAACGUCGUGAGACAGUUCGGUCCCUAUCCGUCGUGGGCGUAGGAAAUUUGAGAGGAGCUGUCCUUAGUACGAGAGGACCGGGAUGGACAUACCUCUGGUGUACCAGUUGUCGUGCCAACGGCAUAGCUGGGUAGCUAUGUGUGGACGGGAUAAGUGCUGAAAGCAUCUAAGCAUGAAGCCCCCUCAAGAUGAGAUUUCCCAACUUCGGUUAUAAGAUCCCUCAAAGAUGAUGAGGUUAAUAGGUUCGAGGUGGAAGCAUGGUGACAUGUGGAGCUGACGAAUACUAAUCGAUCGAAGACUUAAUCAA